UACGCCUCUACGUCACCGCGGCGCUUCCGGCGGCGGCGGGUUGUGCUUCCGGCGUGAGGCUCACGGACAAGAUGGUGCCGCCGGUGCAGGUCUCCCCGCUCAUCAAGCUCGGCCGCUACUCCGCCCUGGUCCUCGGCAUGGCGUACGGAGCCAAGCGCUACAGUUACCUGAAACCCCGGGCGGAGGAGGAGCGGAGGGUGGCCGCCGAGGAGAAGAAGCAGCAGGAGGAACGGAAGCGGAUCGAGCGGGAGCUUGCGGAAGCCCGAGACGACAGCAUCCUGAAGUGAGGCUGCCCUGCCCUGGAGCGGCGCGCGCGCGAAUAAAGGCUUUCUGUGUCGUGCGAUGCUG